CCCCAAAAACACCCCAAAACACCCCAAACACAGGGACUGGGAUGGGGAAACGGGACACAACACCCCAAAAACAGGGACUGGGAUCGGGGAAAUGGGACACAACACCCCAAAAACACCCCAAAACAGGGACUGGGAUUGGGGAAAUGGGACACAACACCCCAAACAGGGAUUGGGAUUGGGGAAAUGGGACACAACACCCAAAACACCCCAAACACAGCUGGCGGUGCAAGAAAUGGGAGCCCUGGGGUUCGGUGCUGUGGAGAUUCGGGGUUUUGUGGGAAAUCUGACAUUGGGAAUUGCCCAAUUCCUGAGAACUUUGGGGUUGGUGUUGUGGGAGUCAGGAGAUUCGGGGUUUGUGGGAUCACAACAUUGGAAAUUCCCCAAUUCCUGGGAAUUUCGAUGUCUCUACCAGAGCCAGUUCGGGGUCAGCACUGGGAUCCAGCCUGAACUCGAAGCUGGAGGCGCCCAGGCCCAGCAGGAUUUGGGGAAUUGGGACAUUUGGGGUUUUGGUGCUGUAAACACCC
rnacentral:lncRNA from 1 species